rnacentral:rRNA from 1 species
UAUGCUUUGGGGAGCUGUAAGUAAGCUUUGAUCCAGAGAUUUCCGAAUGGGGAAACCCAGCACGAGUUAUGUCGUGUUAUCUGCAUGUGAAUACAUAGCAUGCAAGAAGGCAGACCCGGAGAACUGAAACAUCUUAGUACCCGGAGGAAGAGAAAGAAAAAUCGAUUCCCUGAGUAGCGGCGAGCGAAACGGGAAGAGCCCAAACCAAUAAGCUUGCUUAUUGGGGUUGUAGGACACUCUGUACGGAGUUACAAAAGAAUUUGUUAGACGA